rnacentral:rRNA from 1 species
UACGAAGGGGGCUAGCGUUGUUCGGAAUUACUGGGCGUAAAGCGCACGUAGGCGGAUUUGUAAGUCAGGGGUGAAAUCCCGGGGCUCAACCUCGGAACUGCCUUUGAUACUGCAAGUCUCGAGUCCGAUAGAGGUGAGUGGAAUUCCUAGUGUAGAGGUGAAAUUCGUAGAUAUUAGGAAGAACACCCGUGGCGAAGGCGGCCCACUGGGCCGGACCUGACGCUGAGGCGCGAAGGCGUGGGGAGCGAACGGG